GGUAUAUAUCCGGAAGUGGAAUUGCUGGAUCCUAUGGGCCACUGUCAAUAAUGUUUAGCAGGCGGCAGCGGCUGCUCACCAGGGCCGUCGUUCACCAAUUCCUGGAGCACCCUGAAGGAGCCCGACUGGCGAGGCUGAGAAGGCUCAUCCCGAUUGUCGUGGAGCAUCCGGUACACGUCCGACUGGGGCGGCACCGAGGCUGUGGGUUCACUGAAACACAAGCACGGCCGGCAAAGCACGGUCAGGGCACUGGGAUGCCGCGGGAACCAGUAAGCAGCAAUCACAGCAAUCACUCUAGGUCCAGCAACUCCCAAACGGAGAGCCAGUAUUUUCAAGUCUCAACAUACAGAUCAUGAAUCAAGUGAUGACCGACCAUCCACAGCAGGCGUCAUAACUCCAGGAGUCUACAGGGGCCAGGAGGGUCACACGUGUAUGAAAAUGCCCCUCUCACACUUAGGAGAGAUGCGCAUUUGGACAAACUGAUGAGUGAGUUGAAGGAUGGUGCUUUUCUG